rnacentral:rRNA from 1 species
UACGAAGGGGGCUAGCGUUGUUCGGAAUUACUGGGCGUAAAGCGCUCGCAGGCGGAUCGAUAAGUCAGGGGUGAAAUCCCGGGGCUCAACCUCGGAAUUGCCUUUGAUACUGUCAAUCUCGAGUCCGGGAGAGGUGAGUGGAAUUCCUAGUGUAGAGGUGAAAUUCGUAGAUAUUAGGAAGAACACCAGUGGCGAAGGCGGCUCACUGGACUGGUAUUGACGCUGAGGUGCGAAAGCGUGGGGAGCAAACAGG